UACGUAGGGGGCGAGCGUUGUCCGGAAUCAUUGGGCGUAAAGAGCGUGUAGGCGGCUUGGCAAGUCUGACGUGAAAGCCCGCGGCUCAACCGCGGAUUGUCGUUGGAAACUGCCUCGCUAGAGUCCGGAAGAGGAGAGCGGAAUUCCUGGUGUAGCGGUGGAAUGCGCAGAUAUCAGGAAGAACACCCGUGGCGAAGGCGGCUCGCUGGGACGGUGCUGACGCUGAGACGCGAAAGCGUGGGGAGCGAACAGG
rnacentral:rRNA from 1 species